ACGAACGCUGGCGGCGUGCCUAACACAUGCAAGUCGAACGAGGUAGCAAUACCUAGUGGCGGACGGGUGAGUAACGCGUAGGUAACCUGCCUCUUAGUGGGGGAUACCCACCCGAAAGGGUGGCUAAUACCGCAUAUCUUGUGGAGUUGAAAUACUUUUCAAGAAAGAUUUAUCGCUAAGAGAGGGGCCUGCGUAUGAUUAGCUAGUUGGUAGUGUAAUGGACUACCAAGGCGACGAUCAUUAGCUGGUCUGAGAGGACGAUCAGCCACACUGGAACUGAGACACGGUCCAGACUCCUACGGGAGGCAGCAGUGGGGAAUUUUCCGCAAUGGGCGAAAGCCUGACGGAGCAACGCCGCGUGGGUGAUGAAGUCUUUCGGGACGUAAAACCCUUUCAGCAGGGACGAAUACAAUGACGGUACCUGCAGAAGAAGCAUCGGCUAACUACGU
rnacentral:rRNA from 1 species